UUAGGAAUCUUCCACAAUGGGCGAAAGCCUGAUGGAGCGACGCCGCGUGAGGGAUGAAGGCCUUAGGGUUGUAAACCUCUAAAAGAGGGACGAUAAUGACGGUACCUCUUGAAUAGCACCGGCUAACUCCGUGCCAGCAGCCGCGGUAAUACGGAGGGUGCAAGCGUUAAUCGGAAUUACUGGGCGUAAAGCGUGCGUAGGCGGUUUGGCAAGAAAGAUGUGAAAUCCCAGGGCUUAACCUUGGAACUGCAUUUUUAACUGCCAGGCUAGAGUAUGUCAGAGGUGGGUAGAAUUCCACGUGUAGCAGUGAAAUGCGUAGAGAUGUGGAGGAAUACCGAUGGCGAAGGCAGCCCCCUGGGAUAAUACUGACGCUCAGGCACGAAAGCGUGGGGAGCAAACA
rnacentral:rRNA from 1 species